AUUGAACGCUGGCGGUAUGCUUAACACAUGCAAGUCGAACGGCAGCAGCUCUUCGGAGGCUGACGAGUGGCGGACGGGUGAGUAACGCGUAGGAAUCUGCCUGUUAGUGGGGGACAACUUAGGGAAACUUAAGCUAAUACCGCAUACGCCCUACGGGGAAAGGAGGGGAUCUUCGGACCUUUCGCUAACAGAUGAGCCUGCGUAGGAUUAGCUAGUUGGUAGGGUAAAAGCCUACCAAGGCGACGAUCCUUAGCUGUUCUGAGAGGAAGAUCAGCCACACUGGGACUGAGACACGGCCCAGACUCCUACGGGAGGCAGCAGUGGGGAAUAUUGGACAAUGGGCGAAAGCCUGAUCCAGCAAUACCGCGUGUGUGAAGAAGGCCUUAGGUGUAAAGCACUUUCAAUUGGAAGGAAAAAACCAGGGUCAAUACCCCUGGUCUUGACAUUACCUUUAGAAGAAGCACCGGCUAACUCCGUG
rnacentral:rRNA from 1 species